rnacentral:lncRNA from 1 species
AAAAACAGCCUUUCCUGCUCAACCCUAUACUUUAUACUGCCUGCCCCCCACUUCUAAAGUGAUAGCUUUCCAGAGUGAUAUACAGAAGUGCACGUGCACACACACACCUUCCUCCACACAGGUAAGAAAAUAGUCAGGUGUGAUAGUGCACACCUUUAAUCUCAGCACUCCAGAGGCAGAGGCAGGAAGAUUUCUGUGAGUUAGAGGCCAGCCUGAUCCACAUAGUGAGUUCUAAGACAGACAAAGCUACAUAGUGAGAGAGCCUACGAACAAAGAUAAGGAAAUGUGUAGUAUGAUACUUCCAUCCGGAGUUGGCUGAUUUGUAAGUAGCACUGCGUACGUCUUAAGAUGUAAAUGCGUGCGUAUACAUGUUAUAUUUGCUACUGAGCCAUUUAAGCCUGAUCACGCAAGUAAGCAACCAGUUUAUAAUCAGAAUACAAACAGAAUAAUUCAUGGAUUUACUUCUAUUUUCCUUCUGGGACAAAACCGCUAGUGCGUACACACUGAUACUGCAAGCAAGAGUCUGACCUCCUGAUCCACCUAAAUAAUAGUCACAGUCUCUGAAAAACCAAAACCAGCAGCCAUGUGGAGCUUUUCAACCUCAAGAGUUUUUUGAGAUUACCUUUAGGCAGCUAAAAGCAGCCAUCCAGAGACAGCACUCGCUGCCAUUCUCAUCUUAGCUUAGAAGGCUACAGCCUCUGGCUUCUCCAGGAAGGAGAUGAGUCAAAAGGAAAGCAUGGCUCUGCACAACCGCACAGAGUGAACAUUCCUUACAUCAUGAGGGAAAGUAAUCGCUUCCUAUUUCCCAGUGAGGAUAAGGCUGGCUGAUUCCUAGUGAUUGGCAGGGAUAUAAACAGCCUAGAAUAAGGCAGGUGUAGAGCUUGCCUUUGUUUCAGGCCAAAGAUUGGAAAUGGGAUCUUAGCUUUUUCAUCAAAGGCUCCAACAUCGUGACUCCCAUUGUCUUAUUAUGUAGGACUGAAUGAUUCAGCCGAGACACCAGGCCAGGCCAGGAUAGGAAAGAUUCCCAGGCAAGACCCAUCACCAUGAUGUGUUUGCUGUUUGUUUUUUCUUGAAGCAACUAGGAGACUUCGGCAGUGAAUGGCAAGGAAGACAGAGAGCUGAAAUAUAACCUCCGGGCGACUUUCUGAGACGGCCCUUCUCUGCACUUCCUGGGAGGAUGCGAGGAGCCAUAAUUUUCUAAUCAUCAGGCCUGGGCCCUCCUGUGCUGGUCUCACUACUCCUCCUGCUUCUCUGACAGUCCACAUCCUCUGGGAAUCACAUUGAUGUUCAUGCAACUGCCACUGUGAGCGUGGGGGUGGAGGGACAGCGCUGGGCUCUAUCCGCUUAUGCUCUAGCACUGGGCACAUGACAAGAAUCUUUCUGAGCAUGAGCACCAAUUUCCAUGAAGCAAAAAGGUGAGGUAAGAGCUUCUGGCUCUUCCAAAAGUGAGACCUUGCCUGGGCCAGAGUAGGGAGAGGCAUUUUCUAUAGGCUCAGACCAAGCCUCCCCUGUCUGUGGCCACGCUUCCACAACCCUUAAAGUCUUGCCUGUAAAGCAAUCCUAGUAUGUAGAAAGGGGUAAAUCUUUCCGCAAAACAAGAUGAAUAAUGUAAAAUAAAACAUUAUUCCAGAAAUAGACGUGUGGCUGGAUCUGAAGAGAGCGAUUCAACUCUGAUCUCAAUGGCUCAUUUGUCCAGGAGAGACCCCGAGUCUCCCAGAACCUUUGCUUCUUGGUUCAGCAGCUCUAACCCAGAAGCCCUUCACUGAGGCUGCAAGGCCUGCUAAGUCUCAAAUAUCAUCCUGGCUGGUCCCUUUCUAUCCCAUGGGGUUAGCUAGGGUAGAGUAGAAACUAUGCAGGUCAGGAUAAUGCCCACUAAUGCCCGCUGUCUCCCAGUGCUGCCUUUCCAGGCCAGCCUAUUCUUCCUUUUCCCCGGGUUAUUUCUGAGCACUUGUCCCUCAAGUCUAUUUAGAGCCACAAUGCAUCACCAAAAAGGCACAGGGGCUCAGUCCACUGUGCCCUGGAAAGAAGCAAUGCCUAAGUUCAAGCGUUCCUCCUGAAGGGGACAGCAGAAUAAAACAAAACAAAACAAACCCAGCCCAGAGUAUGGGAGUUCAGUCAAUGGAGAGUUCUUUGUCAGGCAAGCAAGGGAAAGGAGACUGUCUGGUGAGAGAUACUGGAUCAGCCAGCAAAAGCCUAGAAUGUCCCUAAACAGUCCCUAAAUAUGAGAAGCCAUGAGAGGUUGCUGAACUCUUCCUAAGAAGGUUAUACAUGUUCCAAAUCAAGCAACACUUUAAAACCUGCAGGAGGAUGGAGAGUGUUUGGGUGGACACCCAGGGGACAGAAGAGGAAGCUGCCAGGAGAACAGGUUAUGUAUCUCCUUUAAGCAGGGGUAGAAUCUAGUGUUGAAGUGUGUUAUUAUCAGAUUUUCUGUGGGUACUGGGGCAGAGAGAAGGGCAUGGGAAACCUCACCGUGGUAGCUGUAGGGGGAGACAAGGGUAUCAGAGAUUACCUGCCCCAUCCCACUCCAAAGCCUGUGGGCUGCCGGAGGCGCUGAUAUGGACACACACAGAGGGUGCACUGGCUUGUGAAGGGUGAGUAUGUGGGAACUAAGUUGUACCACUGUGGCCUACCAGCCCAGUCACUUGUGCUGGGGGCUCUUCCUGCUCCUGUCUUGCCCCGUGAUCCAGCCCAGCUCAAAUUUCCCCGGUUGAUGGGCAGCACAGACAGAAGACAGAAGCCCAAGCUAGAAUGUGGUCUUCUCAAACACAGCCUCACAGACUGUGGGGAACACAUGGAUUCUUGAAUAACAAUGAGGGGGCGGGGUAUACACAGCAGCCUAGCAUCCUCAUAGGGUGGGAGGAGAUAGGGAUCACACUUCUUGUC